UUUGCAAUUCACAACUGAAACAAAUAUGACUUCAAGACAGAAAGAUUCACACACACAGAGAACUAUUCUCAAACCAAAAGCAUCUCUCUGUUUAACACAGCCCAAGAGAGGGCAAGGUAUCUGGUAUUCGCUGAGUCUACUGCUGAGAAAAUUAAAUCCAUGCUGGCCUCCCACAUCUUCAUGAUGGAUAAGUUACUUCAGAGAAGCCAAGCCUAGCAUAGACAAAGAGCGGAAGAAAGAGGCCAGGGGCUUCGGGGUGCUCAGAGCUGCAGAAGCCCCCGGCCACCUGGAAACCCGAAGCUCUGCUAUCAGGAGCUGGGGGACCUGGAACUGCAGUUCGGAGCCAGAGCUGGCAGGAGGAGGAAGAGCUCGGUUGUACACUACUCAUCAGCUCUAACAUCAGGGAAUCACCGCAAGGGCAAAGAGGAGAGGUCAGCUUUCAUGCCUGGGACGCUCUACGAAAGUCGCCUCGUAGAAGUGGGUAGUCUGUGUAUACAAGAUAUCUGGGGACCAAAACCAACAUUAUUCCAGUCUGAGCCCUCUGCAAAGAUCCCAAAGAAGGUUGAGAAGAAUCCAGCAAAGUAAAGAACAGAAGUAACCCAGAAAACCACACAAUGCUGCAUCCUUUCUGGUCAAAGAUCAGGCGGCUCCCUGCUUCCCCGGCGCAGAUCACGGAGAGCAAAGCUCACGGCCACAUCCCCGGGGCUCAGCCGCAGCCUGGUGACCCGGGCGCCUCUCUGCUCUUCUGGGGGACUCACCCCAGCAGCAGUAGCUGCUGCGUGCCUUCCACAGCAGAUCACCUCCCAAGUCAGGGAACGAAGAGAACCAUAAAACAAGACCGCAAUAAAAGCGCUGCAAAUAGAAAACUAAAGGGCAAAACGCAAAAAGAAGAAAAAAAAAAAAAAAAGAGGAGAAAGGAGAGGCAGAACCAAGGAGUGUGAAGCAGUGAUGGGAUUCUGCGCUGGGAUGCGAGGGUACAAGGGCAGCCCAUCGCUGAGCCACGACAAAGGGGCAGCUUGAGGGGAUUUGGGCAGCUCACGUCGCAAAGCAGGCAAGCCUGUCUGCAUCCUCAGUGCCUGCUUUCGGACAGCAGACUGGCAGACACAGCAUAGCCUGCUUGGGCGCUCACACCACUGCCAUGCUUCCCCUUGCUAUGACAGUCUGGCUUCAUGUCAGUUCUGCUACCUGAAUUAGCCUCCUGGUGCUGCCACUGAACACCAGUUGACACACCAGUCUAAUUCUGCUCACGCCCAAAAUAGCGCCGAGCCAAAUCAUUACCCCCUGGUUUAGGGCUUUUCAGAUACUCUGGUCUCGGGCCCAAUCUGAUUUACAACUGAAGUUGAUGGAAGAAAGUCUCAAAGCCUUCACUGAGAGGCAGAUAAGGAAUUCUGCAAAAAUUUACUGGGGGACAAUGCAGCAUUUAUUUGGGGUUUCAGUUUUAUUUUGGUUUACAGUCUAAACUUCUAAUUCCCAAGGCCACGACUCUCCCAUUGCCUUCAUGGGAUUUAGAUUGGAGUCACUUGACUGGGUUUUGCUAUGUCUAACAUGAUUGCCUUCUUUAUUUUUUGCUUUCUAAAUUUUUUCUCCUUUUGACCACAGGCGAAGGAAAUAAAUCAUCUGGUACCCUGCCAGCAAACUGCCAUAGGCGCUUCGAGACUGGAGGCAUUUCUCCUGCCCCAAAAGAGCAUUAAAAAACCCCUGGCUGAUAACUUGGACAGGGUUCAGGUAUGUUUGUGCACAUACCAACAGUUAAACUGAUUUCUUCUACUAUCUUAUCUGUCCAUUUCUGGUUUUGAAGGGGAGGAAGUUUGGCAGGCAAGUUACUCUUGGAAUGCACUCAGUAAACCAUGGGCAAGAGAAGUGAGGAGCAUAAAUAGAAAUAACCAUAGGUACAGCGGCUGGGAGCCCGACUGCUGGCUGCUAUUCCCAGCCUUACCCAUGACUCAUGGGGUGACCUUAGAAAGCCACUUCACCUCUCCACGCUCCAGCUUUCUCACAGGCAAACCCACCCAUUUCACAGGUCACCCCGGGGAGAGGGACCCCGUGUCUCCCAGCUGGGUGUCUCUGGAGGAAAAGCCUCAUCCCACUCCCCCUGCCAGCCCCGGGCAUUGCCACCACGCAGGAUCAGGGCAUCGCAGACCUGGCGCCUCUGGCCCCGAGGGGAGCUGGCAACUUUAACCGAAUUCAUUUUGCGAAGCUUUUCAGGUUCCUUCAAGGAAAGGAAAAGCACUAUAACAAAAUGUUGCUAAUUAUAGCGUGACAGCAUACAACACAUUCCUGCUCUGGACAGAACUCUGCUAUCGGCCAACUUAAUUAUACAUUACCUUUGUCCAGUUCCCUCCUUAUUAAUUGUGGCCAAAGCACUGAGCAAAGCCAAUUUGCUGCUUGCUCUCCAUUUCUCCUUAUACGAGACCAAUUCCUUGGCAGCGACAGCUAGACCGUGAGACUGUUCUGCUGGGCUGUGCCCGCUCCCCUGCCUGUGCUCCCUCCCCCCAGCAGUUGUAAACACUUCUCUCCACUUUAUUCCUGCCCGCCUGGAGCAGAUUCCUGGGAUGUUAACGCCAGAUACAGCCCUGGCCUUGGACAGGGGGUCCCAUGGCCGGAGCAGGAUGGAGCUGCACUCCGGUGCCAGGAACCUGCGAGCUCCCUGGAACGGGUCACUGGAAAAACAGAGCCUGGUUUUGCAGGAAAGGCUUUUUAGUGGUGUUUGGGAGCCUCCUGCACCCAUCGCAGAGGUGGGGCCCUCCGUACCUCAUGGUGCAGCGCAGGGACAGUGACGGGCUUGAGUGCUAGCAGCGAGCAGGAAAACUGCAGUAAAAGCCACAGAGCCCGCGCACACUGUUAACCCCUCUGCGUGCAUCAGGACCAGCAGCAGCACAAAGGCAUCCUGGAUCAAUCUAAUUUCUGUAUAAAAACAGGAAACCGCCCCUCCCUUCGCCAAAACAGAGGAAGAGCUGCGUGGGCUCUAUCUGUGUUGCCGAGAAAAGGGGCAGGGGAAGGAGCAAACGGCUCCCUUUGUCUUAUCCGGGAGCGUGUCAGAAAGAGGACGCCUCAGUCAGUUUGCUCCAGGGGUACUUUUAAGUCUGUCCCCAGCACGGGUCUUGGAAAACAGGGAAAGUCAGAAGAUCUCUACUCCAACAGGACUCAGACCAGAGAGGCUCAGACCUCUCCUAACACCCCUUUCCGCUACAGGCAGCAGGGCAGGGGUGCCUCCCCGAGCCACCCUGGGCUGCGGGCAUUUCAUGGGGGGCCACGGGUCCCAAUUCAGUUUGGGCUGGUGGCAGCUGAGCCCCAAUGCUCUCUGAUGGUUGUACGGUGACCUGGAGGAAAUGAAUCCUCACACACAAGCCCGCCAGCCCUCCCCUCCUCCUCCAGCAGUCACAGCAGGGAAAGCCAAGAUUGAUUCAAGACUGAGAAAAAAUAAGCCCUUUCCCUUCAGAAACAGUGCCUCCCACACUGGACCAAGCAUUUUGAGGCAGGAGGGAGGUUUUUAUUUUUGACACUUUUACUUUUGUAAUGAAAGACUUCUUAUGAGUGCAGGGAUGUCAGAUAAUACCUUCCCUCUGUCCCACAUCCAUUGCAGAAAGAAGAGGGGAAAGUGAGAAAGCAUCUAUAUUCUUUUUUCUUGUCUUUAUUCCCCUGGACUGAGAUGAAUCUACCACUGACAACUCUAACUUGGGAACCAGCAUCUCAGCCAACAUCUCCUCAGUGCACAGCAACCUGCUCCCCUUUACUCCAUCAUAUCACACUGCUUUUGUGUUACAGAGGAGCCACAGAAAGGCAACACUAGAAGAUGAAAGAGGCAGAAUAUUUAUUAGAAGCCCCUGAAGCUUUGAGGAACUCUUUAGAAUAAUUCAAGACAGCUGAUGGCUUGGGAUGGGGGACCAGGAAUAGCCUGAUGUUUCGACUACCAAGUUAAAUUAUUUCCCAACCUGUGCAACAGCUUCAGCUGAAGUAGAUGGGCCUUCAGUGCUUGCAGUGUGGAGGAGCUAGGGGAACAGGUGGGUUGGCCACAUGAGUUAGCCCAGGAUCAUGCUAAUGUAAGAUGUAAAUGUAAAUGUAAUUGUAAAUCCUGCAACUUGAUUGUGUUUGCUCUGGGAUUGCAUGCACACAAAUCAGGCCAUAAUCAAAGCUUUACCCAUUUCAAUGUCACCUGAUCAAUUAUAAAUAGAGAUUGUAAGGUGUUAAACCAAAAACCGUGUACAGAAAUUAUUCUGCAUAUAGAAGUUGUUCUCAGCUUAGCAUAUACAUGAGAAACCUCAAAGUCAGGCACAGGUUUUCCUGACAAUGAGUCCUGGACCUUGCUGUUCCAAAACAGAAAUGUCAGAAUGGUAUUUGUUCACACAGUCAUAACCAUCAUUUUCUUUGCUGUCUUGUAGCCAGCAGGUCAUGUUCACUUGUGCUUAGAGGUGCCCACAGAGGAAUCCAACCUGCAAAUAAAGAACUGCAACAGAA